AACCUUCUGUAUCCGUGCUGAGAUUUCGUCACACACCAGACCACAAGGGCUGAUGAG
rnacentral:pre_miRNA from 1 species